AGCCCACCACUAACAGCAGGAUGUACAGGACCUCCGACACCACCGACAGCCACAGCACGCCUGGCACAACACGCGCAACUCAUCAGGUGGGAGCAGCAUAUUGGCCGUCACCAAGCGAUUGGUCAGAGGAAGGACGCUAACUUUUUUUUCGACCCUCUGUUGAGUGCUGUGUGGGGCCUCAUCCCAAUCUUCCACUUCCCUCCCGGUCAACUGUUGUGUUUUGGACCCGUCAUCCACUUGCGAGGACGCGUAAUGGCUGUCAUUACUCACCUCUCUCCGAGGCGGGGGCCAGGUCAAUGAAGCUGCGACACUUCUCACCUGAGACACACAGAAAGACACGCGACCAAGGGAGAUGAAGCAACGGGAGAGGCAAAGAAGGACAAGUCUUAUAGUGGGCCAAACAACGGGAGUCAGGCAGUGGCGUAAUCCUUCCUUCAUCUCGCUGUCAGCGCCUCGAAUCGAAGCGACCCAGUCCCACACGGCCUUACAUUCUGAGUCGCUCCCGUCGUAGAGCAGCGGGGAAAAAGCAGCAUUCGAGCUGCGACUAAAAUGGUCGAAGGACAAGAUGACAAGAGGAGGUGAAGAUAAGGCCAACCAAAAAAAAAGGUGACUCAUUAGUGUGGCGCUGGUGAUGUUCUCUGUCCUGCUGACAUUUAACAGACGCGUUUGCAGACGCCUCAGUGGUGCCAAUGGGUCGCACGCUGUCUGUCAA